AUUGAACGCUGGCGGCAGGCCUAACACAUGCAAGUCGAACGAGUGGCGGACGGGUGAGUAAUGUCUGGGAAACUGCCUGAUGGAGGGGGCUAACUACUGGAAACGGUAGCUAAUACCGCAUACCAUCAGAUGUGCCCAGAUGGGAUUAGCUUGUGGGUGGGGUAACGGCUCACCAAGGCGACGAUCCCUAGCUGGUCUGAGAGGAUGACGAGUGACACUGGAACUGAGACAAGGUCCAGACUCCUACGGGAGGCAGCAGUGGGGAAGAUUGCACAAUGGGCGGAAGCCUGAUGCAGCCAUGCCGCGUGUAUGAAGAAGGCCUUCGGAUUGUAAAGUACUUGCAGCGGGUAGGCGUUACCCGCAGAAGAAGCACCGGCUGACUCCGUGCCAGCAGCCGCGGUAAUUC
rnacentral:rRNA from 1 species